GACGAACGCUGGCGGCGUGCCUAAUACAUGCAAGUAGAACGCUGAAGGAGGAGCUUGCUCUUCUGGAUGAGUUGCGAACGGGUGAGUAACGCGUAGGUAACCUGCCUGGUAGCGGGGGAUAACUAUUGGAAACGAUAGCUAAUACCGCAUAACAACAGUUGUUGCAUGACAGCUGUUUAAAAGAUGCAAUUGCAUCACUACCAGAUGGACCUGCGUUGUAUUAGCUAGUUGGUGAGGUAACGGCUCACCAAGGCAACGAUACAUAGCCGACCUGAGAGGGUGAUCGGCCACACUGGGACUGAGACACGGCCCAGACUCCUACGGGAGGCAGCAGUAGGGAAUCUUCGGCAAUGGACGGAAGUCUGACCGAGCAACGCCGCGUGAGUGAAGAAGGUUUUCGGAUCGUAAAGCUCUGUUGUAAGAGAAGAACGAGUGUGAGAGUGGAAAGUUCACACUGUGACGG
rnacentral:rRNA from 1 species